rnacentral:lncRNA from 1 species
UCCAAAUUCAGAUUCUCAGAGGCCCACUCUGGCUGCCUAUCUGUGGUUUUUUUCAACGUGUCUUCUCUAGAACUAUGUCAUUACCACCUCCAUUUAAAAUUUCCAUGAUUUUUAUUUACUCACCAUCCUGUCUGUCCUCGGUUUCCCUAGCGUAAACUCCACGAGGUCAGAACUUCAGAGCCUUUGUUGUUCAGUGUUGUUUCCCCCAGCUCACAGAAUAACGACAGAGGGUGUGGGCCCCACAGGUCUCACCCUCCCAGAGUGAGGGGGAAUGACAUUGUAGCAACGCCUUAUGGGACUUUACAUGAUAUGCAAUGUAUUCGGAUUUUUGCUUUCAGAGAGUGGAAAAUUAUAAUUUAUCUACUCAGUGCCCUCAUCUAAAGACAAUCUUUGGGAAUGUUGGACCUAUUCUAGUCACUGUAAAAAAAAAAAAAA